rnacentral:misc_RNA from 1 species
AACAAGAAAAGCCGUUCUCCUUCUCCUUCUGCAGCUGCUACGAGCUGCCAUGGAAAGGUUUUGAGGGUCGUCAACACUAUUGAUAGCAAAAUCUUGGAGUACACAAGGCCUAUGCUUGUUAAAGAUGUAUUGAUCAACUUCUCAUCAGGUUUUGCCAUCGGUCUAUCAGAGAAACCACUUAGAGUUCUUCCCCACAGUUAUAAGUUAAAGGUCGGUAAUGUUUAUUAUCUCUUUCCAGUCUCCAGCUCCGACAGGCCAUCAGUGGCGGCCACUGAUGGUACCACUAAGAGAAUUAAACUAAUUAUAACAAAGAAACAGCUUCAAGAAUUGCUGUCUAAGAAUAUAUCAGCGGAGGAGAUGUACCUGUUGGGUAUGAAUCAGAAAGAUAAUCCAUGGCGUGGACUUAACUCUCUGUCAAGGUGGCGGCCGGUGCUUCAAACCAUCCCUGAAGGAAACGAGUAGCAUUUUUUUGUGCAGGAAACUAAACACAUGAAAUUGCUGCUUUUGGAAAGUAUAUUUGGUUCACCUCUCUAUCUGUUUAACGUUAUACAUGUUAG